GACGAACGCUGGCGGCGUGCCUAAUACAUGCAAGUUGAGCGAUGAAGAUUGGUGCUUGCACCAAUUUGAAGAGCAGCGAACGGGUGAGUAACGCGUGGGGAAUCUGCCUUUGAGCGGGGGACAACAUUUGGAAACGAAUGCUAAUACCGCAUAACAACUUUAAACAUAAGUUUUAAGUUUGAAAGAUGCAAUUGCAUCACUCAAAGAUGAUCCCGCGUUGUAUUAGCUAGUUGGUGAGGUAAAGGCUCACCAAGGCGAUGAUACAUAGCCGACCUGAGAGGGUGAUCGGCCACAUUGGGACUGAGACACGGCCCAAACUCCUACAGGAGGCAGCAGUAGGGAAUCUUCGGCAAUAGACGAAAGUCUGACCGAGCAACGCCGCGUGAGGGAAGAAGGUUUUCGGAUCGUAAAACUCGGUUGGUAGGGAAGAAAGUUGGUGAGAGUGGAAAGCUCAUCAAGUGACGGUAACUACCCAGAAAGGGACGGCUAACUACGUG
rnacentral:rRNA from 1 species